GGCUGUAUCAUGUUGAAACACCAGCUCUUGUAUGAUCACCAAAGUUAAGCAACUUUGAGCCUAGUCAGUACCUAAAUGGGUGAAUGCUUGGGAAAUUCUGGUGCUGUAUG